ACGGGAGGCAGCAGUGGGGAAUAUUGCACAAUGGGGGAAACCCUGAUGCAGCGACGCCGCGUGAGUGAAGAAGUAUUUCGGUAUGUAAAGCUCUAUCAGCAGGGACGAAGUGGAGUUCGUGAGAACUCCUUUGACGGUACCUGACUAAGAAGCCCCGGCUAACUACGUGCCAGCAGCCGCGGUAAUACGUAGGGGGCAAGCGUUAUCCGGAUUUACUGGGUGUAAAGGGAGCGUAGACGGUGAUGUAAGUCAGAUGUGAAAGCCCGGGGCUCAACCCCGGGACUGCAUUUGAAACUAUGUUGCUAGAGUGCAGGAGAGGUAAGUGGAAUUCCUAGUGUAGCGGUGAAAUGCGUAGAUAUUAGGAGGAACACCAGUGGCGAAGGCGGCUUACUGGACUGUAACUGACGUUGAGGCUCGAAAGCGUGGGGAGCAAACAGGAUUAGAUACCCUGGUA
rnacentral:rRNA from 1 species